rnacentral:tRNA from 1 species
GGGGAGGUGCCAGAGCGGUUGAAUGGGGCGGUCUCGAAAACCGUUGUACGGUCCUGCCGUACCGUGGGUUCGAAUCCCACCCUCUCCGCCA